CUGAUGCGGUCGGCCCGGCCGGCGCUGCCGGAGGACAGCUGGCGCAGCUCCAGCUGCCUUGGGUGCUUGGGCCGCUGCAGGCAGCACCCGGCGCUGUCCGCGUACCUGCCGCUGUUGGCCGAGCUCCGUUUCCUUUCUGGGUGGGCAAGCCACGUCACUUAUUUUGGGGGAUGGGUCAUGCCAGACAGAGGGCACGGGAUCCCUGCACCCUCCAUCCAGGGGCUAAAUCACACUUGAACUGUAUUACUUGACAGGCCACCUUGGGCCUGCACUAACAUGGCUCCUCAAGGCGGGGAGUUUUCUGCUUGCUUGGGAAACCUCCAGAUUGCUUUUAUUGCAUAAUGAGCAAAAAUCAACAAAAGCCAAGGAAGACCCUAGGUGUAUAUGUGGUAAACAGCUGAGCAGAAGGAUGGAGUGAGAGCGGUGGUGAGUGAUGUCAACAAAGGUGUGGGAAUCCAGGAGCGCAACGACUGAGCCCAUGUGCUGCAACUGCUGAAGACCU